GGGGAAUAUUGCACAAUGGAGGAAACUCUGAUGCAGCGACGCCGCGUGAGGGAAGAAGGUUUUCGGAUUGUAAACCUCUGUCUUCGGGGACGAAACAAAUGACGGUACUCGAGGAGGAAGCCACGGCUAACUACGUGCCAGCAGCCGCGGUAAUACGUAGGUGGCAAGCGUUGUCCGGAAUUACUGGGUGUAAAGGGAGCGCAGGCGGAACUGCAAGUUGGGUGUUUAAUCUACGGGCUCAACCCGUAUCAGCAUUCAAAACUGUGGUUCUUGAGUAAUGCAGAGGUAGGCGGAAUUCCCGGUGUAGCGGUGGAAUGCGUAGAUAUCGGGAGGAACACCAGUGGCGAAGGCGGCCUACUGGGCAUCAACUGACGCUGAGGCUCGAAAGCAUGGGUAGCAAACAGGAUUAGAUACCCUGGUAGUCCAUGCUGUAAACGAUGAUUACUAGGUGUGGGGAGAUUGACCCUCUCCGUGCCGCAGUUAACACAAUAAGUAAUCCACCUGGGGAGUACGACCGCA
rnacentral:rRNA from 1 species